AAAAAAGAAAAAAAAAAUCCAAAGUCUGAGUUCAAAGUUCAAACACGUCAUUAGCCCUAAACCCCUUUCUGCCGCCUACCAUCUUCUUCCCAAGUUUCAGCCCUAAACACGUCGAUCUCUCCGGCGCCGAUUCACGCCGACCAACGCCACUCGUUCCUUCCGCCGCCGUCGUUAUCUCAACAAUCAACGAAGCCACGAACCACGUUCUCUACCGCCUCCCUCCAAUCUUAAAACCGUAGGUGUCCCUGCCGUCGUCGCCGCCCCAAUCUCCACCGGUCAGCAAGCAACGAAAAUCGACGCUGCUCUGAGCCUUUGUCCGAUCCCCCUAGCGCCGUGCUUCGCCGCUGCUUUGAGCUUCUGUACUCCAGAAAUGCCGUUGCUCUGAAGCUUUCUCCGGUCUCCGCCACCGCUGCUCUGAGCCUUUGUUCGGUCGCCCUAGCAUGCUCUGGUUUACCUUGCUGUACACCAGACGGCGAAUGUUGUAAUUGCUAACAUACUAGACGAGGCAGGAGCAGAAGUAGCUGCUGAAAUCAGAGGGCAGUACUCUUCCGGUCUGCUCUCGACUUAGCCGCCGCUGUGAGGCUUUCUUUGGUCGCUGCUCCUUGAGGUUAGUUUAUGUGUAGCUUAAUUUCAUUAUCAAUUACAAGCAGAAAAUCAAUUUUAUGCUGCACUACAAUCUUGUUUCAUCCGAGUAUAAUUCUUUGCUUGUAACUAAGAUGUUCAAAUUUUAUGCUGCACUACAAUCUUGUUUCAUCCGAGUAUAAUUCUUUGCGCGCAUUGAGCUUCUGAUCUGCCUUUCUCUACCCCGGUCCGCCGUGCUUCGUUGCCACCCUGAGCCUUUCUCCGGUCGUCCAGUCGUGACUACAUUUUCCUAACAGAGGAUUUGCUUUCUGGUUGCUUUGUUGGGGGUUUGGCCACCUUUCUACAUUUUGACAACUUCACUAGUUAUUUGCCACAAAAUGCAAGUGCCAAGUGCCAAGUGCCUAAGUGAUGCAGGGUUUUUCUUGAUGCAAUAGAUAUGACCAAUAUAGCAAAUACUAUAAUGCAGCAAUUGAGAAGAUUGAGGAGCACUAUUCAGAGUACCUACGGAAGACCUUACGAUUUACAUUUGAAGAGGGGGUUCAAAUGCUUAAGUCGUAUUAGGAGGUCGGCAUAUUCAUGAGCAAGAGCUUUUGGCAGACCGUGCACGAGCAUGCGUGCACCAGGUAUUUCCAGGCAAUAUGAUGAAUGGUAGCUUGGGAAGCAAAGGGGAAAAAAAAAAUAAUUGUUGAAAAGUUGAGGCUUGAAGAACAUUGCAUCUUUGGAAUUUUGAUUUUGAAACUUGCUAUUAGAUUUUUGAUAAGUUAUUAGAUUCAUAGUUGGAAAUUGAUGCAAAUCAUUCUAGAUGAUUGUUAGAUUUUGAAAAAUUGUACUCAUAGUUGAAACAUUUUAGAUAAUUGUAAUGAAUGUAAAUGAUAAUUAGAUGUGUAAUUCCAUAUUUGAAGUUUA